GGUGUCCUGGCGCAAUGGUAGCGCGUUGGUUUUCGGUUCCAGCUGAAACUCGCCAAAGGUUGUAGGUUCGAGCCCUGCGGACAUCG
rnacentral:tRNA from 1 species